UAGAGUUUGAUCAUGGCUCAGGAUGAACGCUAGCGACAGGCUUAACACAUGCAAGUCGAGGGGCAGCGGGGGUGAUGGCUUGCCAUCACCUGCCGGCGACCGGCGCACGGGUGAGUAACACGUAUGCAACCUGCCCGCCACAGGGGGAUAAGCGGAAGAAAUUCCGUCUAAUACCGCGUGACGCGGCGUCGGGGCAUCCCGGUGCCGCCAAAGGGAUUACCGGUGGCGGAUGGGCAUGCGGCGCAUUAGCUAGUCGGCGGGGUAACGGCCCACCGAGGCGACGAUGCGUAGGGGUUCUGAGAGGAAGGUCCCCCACACUGGUACUGAGACACGGACCAGACUCCUACGGGAGGCAGCAGUGAGGAAUAUUGGUCAAUGGGCGCGAGCCUGAACCAGCCAAGUCGCGUGAGGGAUGACGGUCCUACGGAUUGUAAACCUCUUUUGCCGGGGAGCAAGCGUGCGUUCGUGAACGCGCGUCGAGAGUACCCGGAGAAAAAGCAUCGGCUAACUCCGUGCCAGCAGCCGCGGUAAUACGGAGGAUGCGAGCGUUAUCCGGAUUUAUUGGGUUUAAAGGGUGCGUAGGCGGGAUGCCAAGUCAGCGGUAAAAAAGCGGUGCUCAACGCCGUCGAGCCGUUGAAACUGGCGUUCUUGAGUGGGCGAGAAGUAUGCGGAAUGCGUGGUGUAGCGGUGAAAUGCAUAGAUAUCACGCAGAACUCCGAUUGCGAAGGCAGCAUACCGGCGCCCUACUGACGCUGAGGCACGAAAGCGUGGGUAUCGAACAGGAUUAGAUACCCUGGUAGUCCACGCAGUAAACGAUGAAUGCUAACUGUCCGGUGCGAGUGAGCGCUGGGCGGUACAGCGAAAGCGUUAAGCAUUCCACC
rnacentral:rRNA from 1 species